rnacentral:sRNA from 1 species
UGACAGUUUUCGCAAUAGCCUCUAUCUG